rnacentral:siRNA from 1 species
UCAGAUCUGCAGGAUUGAUGUC